rnacentral:lncRNA from 1 species
UUCAAUUAUAACCAAAUAAGUGGAACAAAUAGAUAACCACUUAUCUGAGAAAAAAAAAAAAGAGAGUAGAAAAUCAAACACCAUAAGACCCACAUCCUAGCUGAACCCAACACAAGUGAUAUAGCAAAAAUCCAGCUUUUCUUUUAAAAAAUAAGAAGUAUCAAUUUAGUCGAAUUGCACCAUUCGUGAAAGCAUUUACCACUAUUCAUUUUCAAUUUUUAGUAAAAUCCAAUCAUUUACCAAUAAAUUAAACUUACCCAACUUAUUGAGCCUCCAAAUAUCAGCAUAAAUAUCAAUUAACCUCAGCCAUCUCUUUCGUUCUAUCCAAAUUUGAGAAAG